rnacentral:rRNA from 1 species
UACAGAGGUCUCAAGCGUUGUUCGGAUUCAUUGGGCGUAAAGGGUGCGUAGGUGGCGCCGUAAGUGGGGUGUGAAAUCUCGGGGCUUAACUCCAAAACUGCAUUCCAUACUGCGGUGCUCGAGGACUGGAGAGGAGACUGGAAUUCAUGGUGUAGCAGUGAAAUGCGUAGAGAUCAUGAGGAAGACCAGUGGCGAAGGCGGGUCUCUGGACAGUUCCUGACACUGAGGCACGAAGGCCAGGGGAGCAAACGGG